UACGUAGGGUGCGAGCGUUGUCCGGAAUUAUUGGGCGUAAAGGGUGCGUAGGCGGCGGGGCAAGUCUGAUGUGAAAUCCCGGGGCUCAACCCCGGAACUGCAUUGGAUACUGCCUUGCUUGAGUACUGGAGAGGAGACUGGAAUUUACGGUGUAGCAGUGAAAUGCGUAGAGAUCGUAAGGAAGGCCAGUGGCGAAGGCGAGUCUCUGGACAGUAACUGACGCUGAGGCACGAAGGCCAGGGGAGCAAACGGG
rnacentral:rRNA from 1 species